CCUACGGGAGACUGCAGUGAGGAAUAUUGGUCAAUGGACGAGAGUCUGAACCAGCCAAGUAGCGUGAAGGAUGACUGCCCUAUGGGUUGUAAACUUCUUUUAUAUGGGAAUAAAAUGUUCCACGUGUGGGAUUUUGUAUGUACCAUAUGAAUAAGGAUCGGCUAACUCCGUGCCAGCAGCCGCGGUAAUACGGAGGAUCCGAGCGUUAUCCGGAUUUAUUGGGUUUAAAGGGAGCGUAGGUGGAUUUGUAAGUCAGUUGUGAAAGUUUGCGGCUCAACCGUAAAAUUGCAGUUGAAACUGGCAGUCUUGAGUACAGUAGAGGUGGGCGGAAUUCGUGGUGUAGCGGUGAAAUGCUUAGAUAUCACGAAGAACUCCGAUUGCGAAGGCAGUUCACUGGACUGCAACUGACACUGAGGCUCGAAAGUGUGGGUAUCAAACAGGAUUAGAUACCCUUGUAGUC
rnacentral:rRNA from 1 species